UACAGAGGUGGCGAGCGUUGUUCGGAUUUAUUGGGCGUAAAGGGUCCGUAGGCGGUCUGGAAAGUUGGAUGUGAAAUCCUGCAGCUUAACUGCAGAACUGCAUUCAAAACUCCCGGACUCGAGUUUGAGAGGGGUAAAGGGAAUUCCCGGUGUAAGGGUGAAAUCUGCAGAUAUCGGGAAGAACACCAGUCGCGAAGGCGCUUUACUGGCUCACAACUGACGCUGAGGGACGAAAGCUAGGGGAGCAAACAGG
rnacentral:misc_RNA from 1 species